GAGCAUGUAUCUCAAAGGAAAGAGUAUCGGAUUCCGAAUCCGAAGGUUGUAGGUUCGAGUCCUUCCUUGCUCA
rnacentral:tRNA from 1 species